rnacentral:rRNA from 4 species
UUGGACCCCCGGUACACUGAGUUCUUCACGGGACACGUAUCGGACACAUGGGUUUACGGGACACGGUCUGCCUCC